rnacentral:rRNA from 1 species
UACAGAGGUGCCGAGCGUUAGGCGGAAUCACUGGGCUUAAAGCGUGUGUAGGCGGACUUCUAAGUACCUUGUGAAAUCCCACGGCUCACCCGUGGAACUGCUGGGUAUACUGGUCGUCUUGAGCCACCUAGGGGCGAGCGGAACAAAUGGUGGAGCGGUGGAAUGCGUAGAUAUCAUUUGGAACGCCAACGGUGAAAACAGCUCGCUGGGGGUGUGCUGACGCUGAGACACGAAAGCCAGGGUAGCGAACGGG